GGUACCGUUUCCUUUUCGCAGUGUCACAGGCUCCGUACUGAAAACAACUGCGUUUCAGUCCACCACACUUCUCACAGAUACUUCCAGGUGACCGUGUGCACACUCCUGUGUGUAUUUGGUUCUCCUCCGCUGCUCCUACACGCCACAGAGUCCUACAGCUCCCAGCAGGCCCCUCUGUUCACCGGCUCUUCAUCAGUCUUAAAGCCGGGGUCGGGUGUUCCUAGCUCGGCCGCUGAAGCAGCAUGGAGUCGCUGUGUGGUUGAUGGAUACGAAGGAGGAGGUGAAGUGUUGAGCCUGGAUGACACUUCUUCUACUGCAGAAUGUCAGUCACGAUGAACGGCACUCAGCAGAAUGAUACCAAGAGACAACACCUGCUGGAGAGGCUGCUGGAUGCUGUCAAACAGUGCCAAAUCCGCUUUGGAGGUAGAAAGGAGAUUGCCACAGACACAGACAGCAGGGUGAUCUGUUUGUGCGCACAGUUUGAAGCCGUUCUGCAGCACGGCCUCAGGAAAAGCAGAGGUCUCGCCCUGACCGCCGCCGCACUCAAGCAGGCUGCAGGCUUCAGCAGCAAAACAGAAGCAGCGGAGCUGACCUUCUGGUUCUAUGUGAAGGAGCAGCUGAAUCGUCACGAGCUCCAGAGAUUCUACUCCCUGCGGCACAUUUCCUCUGAGCUGGGUCGAGGUCGGGCCUGGCUGCGUUGUGCCCUCAAUGAGCACUCAUUGGAGCGCUACCUGCACAUGCUGCUGGCUGACCGCCCUCGUCUGGGAACCUAUUACGAAGACUGGGCAUUUAUUCUUGAUGAAGAAAGAGCUAGCAUGCUGCCCACCAUGGCUGCAGGCCUGAACUCUAUUUUGUUCGCCAUCAACAUCGACAACAAUGAUCUGAACGGCGGAGUGACUCGAGGAGGAGGCUCCUCUGUUUCCCACCUCCUCAAGGAGUCCACCCAAGGUAUUGGCAGCCUGUUGAAGGAGUCCACCCAGGGGGUCAGCAGUCUGCUCAGGGAGAUCAGCACAGCAACAGCAGUGGUGCCAGGUUUCACCCCCAAAGUGAACGCAGUCUCAGAUCCAUUGCCUGUUGUGCCCCGCAGCACCUCUGCUGACUCAGGGCUGAAGAAGGAGCGCCGCAGGAGGAAGAAGAUCACCAACAUCAUUUCAUUUGACGAUGACUUGGAAGGAGGUGCGGAGGAUGACGACGAAGCAGAGAAAGAGCAUCAGAAGAUGGCGAUGGUGAGGAGGAGUCACACCGCUCCUGCUCAGAGCAGUGUAGAAGAAGGCCUCGAUCCUCUGGAGCCCGCUUUGUCCCAGUCUCCAGCCCAGAAUGGAAUGCCUGAACCAGACAUUGUCAGCUGGGUGGGAUCUCCGCAUCCCUGUCGCACCCCGCCUUCAUCUGCACCUCCUUUGCCAGACAGGAAGAGUAUAGACAAUGAGGAGGAAGAGGAGGAGGAGGAAGAGGAGGAAAUGUACAAGCCUAUGCCACAAACCCAGGAGCAAGAGGAGAGGAACAGCCAUGAUCAGGUGGUGGUCGGAAGUCUGUCCAGUGUGUCCACGUGGAGCCCUCUACAGGUGAAGACUGAACACAGCAGUUCAGACAUCCUGAUACCUGUGAACUCUACAGACCAACAGCCAGUCAGCUCAGUGGAGGACACGGCUGCAUUUCCUGCUCACUGUGAGUCGUCAGGCCAGGUGGAGAACUGUGAGAGCAGCAGGUCUCAGGAGCUGACAUUCAACAUGGAGUCCAGUCCGCCCACACAACCUGCACCCAUCUCCAGUGUUCUGCCCACGUCUGCUCUGCCUGAGUCCAUGACAGUGGUGGAGCUGCGGCAGGCCAUCGUAGCCAUGAUGAACAGAAAGGACGAGUUGGAAGAACAAAACAUCUCUCUUCGCUCUCUGCUGGACGGGGAGAUGGAGCACUCAUCUGGCCUGAGGCAGGAAACUGACUUGCUGAAGAAGAAGCUGGCAGAGUUGGAGGAGAGACACUCGGCCAAGGUCCAGGCACUGGGAAGGGAGAAUGAGGUCCUGAAGGUCCAGCUGAAGAAAUAUGUGGGGGCGGUACAGAUGCUGAAGAGAGAGGGCAGCCAAGGCAAUGACGCCUCCUCAGUGCUGCAGCCCAGUGAGGAGCAGACCCCUCCCCCCCAGAAUAAAUGUAUGGGUGACAUCGAGGAACUGGCUGCCAGCUAUGAACGAAAACUCAUCGAGGUAGCUGAGAUGCAUGGCGAGCUGAUAGAGUUUAAUGAGCGUCUGUACCGAUCCCUGAUGUCCAAAGACCAUCUCAUUGUCCAAAUGAGACAGGAACUCAUUGACCUGCGAGGACCGGUUCCAGGUGACUUAAGUCAGACGUCGGACGAUCCCAGUUUGUCAGACUUUGAGACGGCUCAUCGUGCUCUCAUCAACGUGUGGAUCCCCUCUGUGUUCCUGCAGGGCCGUGCUGCCAACGCCUACCAUGUCUAUCAGGUGUACAUUCGUAUUCUGGACAACGAGUGGAACGUCUACAGACGCUACACAGAGUUCCGGGAGCUUCACAACGACCUGAGGAGAAGGUUCCCACAGGUGGACACCUUCAUCUUCCCACCCAAGAAAGCCUUAGGAAACAAGGAUGCCAAGUUUGUGGAGGAGAGGAGGAAGCAGCUGCAGGGCUACCUUCGCAUGGUGAUGAACAAAGUGAUCCAGGCGUUGCCAGAGUUCACCACACGGCCCAGCAAAGAGACCCUGCUGUCUCUGCUGCCCUUCUGCCUUGACACACCACAGGCCAACGAAAAUGUGUCCAAAACGCCACGGUCCAAGAACUCAUCCCGAUUUCCCAGACUGGGCCGCAGCCGCAACCAGGAAGCCAGACCAGAACCUCAGAGCGGAGACCUUUGAAAACUCCAGAGAUGACAAAAAAGUUUAAAGUCUGUAACCGUAAAGGCAGAAAAGGACAGUCUCCCAGAAUCCUCUUUGGAUUCACAGUGUGUGUCUGAGUGAGGACUGAACCAACACCUGAUGGACCUUUACAGCCUUUAGUCCAGCAGGAGGCAGUGAGCGUGUUCAAGGUCUGUUCUUCUGGAGGAGAAUGUGAUGGUGUUUCUGUGCAUUGGCUGACUGAGUGUGGGAUAAAUGACUCCCCCCAGGCUUCCUUUCAGUGGACCCAAUUAUACAGAACCUCUUACCUCACAGAGACACUGAAAGGCUCUAUAAGCUGCACACGGACAGACCUGGACCACUGUCUGUACUUAACUCAAACUGAAACCACGGGGAAGACAGUUUUUCUCUCUCCUCUCUGUCCAGUUUUUCUAGUCAAAGUCUGAUCACAGUCUCAGUGCCUGCAGUGUUUUGUCGCUGCAUCUUCUGCUAUGGCUGAAAGGAGUGAGAAACUUAGUGUUUUUUAUCAUUGUAUUUUUUUUUAUUAUUAUUAUUGUUGGGCUCAUGUGAGAUGAUUUGUGCCAUUAUUUUUUUAUACACAAGUUGAUUUAAAAGUACAAGGACUUCUCAUUUUUCAUUAUAUGUGUGUGUGUAUGUAUAUAUACAUACACACAUAUAUAUAUAUAUAUAUAUAUAUAUAUAUAUAAUAGCUGCAGCUCCUGAAAAGCAGAUAUUGUCAGACAAAUGUAGUAUAAUAUUUAAAAUUCCACCUUUAAUGACUUCUUGUGACCUAGAGCCUGGGUGGAUACUGUUAAAGUAGAAGGAGAAACAGACUGAAACAAAUGGAAGGCUUCAGACUCUGCCUGUAUUCAGGAUGUCAAACAGACUUAACCACAAACUUCCAUUCACUGAAUUUCCCCAAAACCAAAGCCACAGAAGUCACAGCAGCAACAUUAGAUCUACCCCUCCCCGCCCCCCCCAAGCUAAACCAGAAGAACAGCUCAAAAUAAAGAGUCCAUUUCUACACACAGUCUGACUGGACAGAGGCUCAGACCGCACACCGUCACAGACCUGAAACAAUCUGAAAAUUCAAACUUGUCGACAACAGUUAAAACAAUAUCCAGCACCAGUCUGGGUGACGAAAUAAUCCCUGACCCCGGGGCAGAAGAAGCUGUGGUUUAUGAAUCCCAAAAGUAAAAACCAACAUAUGAUGUAAAAAACUAACUGGGUGUAAUCACAGCUGUUGGUGGGAGACCAGGGGCUAACCCCAGCUAAUGCUAAAAUGAGCUAAAAUCAUUGUUUUGAGAAACAAACCAGUAAAUACAAACCUGUUUUUACACCUAGUUACACCAAGGGAGGCACGACCUCCACAGGUGGCUUUACCUCUUCUUCAUCUCCAGGCAUCAGGUGUGAGAAACUGUGGAGACUUGAAGCCUCAAUCACCACAAAACUUAAAAUAUUCCAUCUCUGUCUCCUGUGUUUAGUGUCAAAUUUACAGCUGCAUUUGCAUUGCCUUAGUUGUGCAGGAAGUUACUCUCUGUUACCAGUGGUAAUGAAGAGAAUUAGCUGGAAACUUGUCAAACUUGCCAACAGUGAAACCAGUCUGAGAGCCUACACUCUGAUUGGCCAGCCGGUGUUAUGGGGUGAUUGGUCAGUUUUGCAUAAUUUCUUGAUAGAAAAUGUAAACAUUCCAGCCUUUAACCUGAAAAACCAAGGCCAAAUUCUGAUGAACUUACAUCAUGUAGUGUUUUAACUUAAAACGCAGUAUGGCCAAUAGAGUGAGUUUGUAAAACCUGUUCUGGUGAGACUGAGCCUCAGUACAUGGAGAUGUUCACUACAGUCUGGAUAUCUGUUCAACUUAACAUGUCUGAGCUGGUCUUAAACGCAACAAACAUUUUGCUGCAAAUGUAUGUUUUUAAUGAUGACUUGAAGAGAAGCUGCUGUUUGGCCAAUGAGUGUCUAGUGUGUACUUCAGAAGCUCAUGCAUAUAUAUGAUAUAUUGUAGUAUGUAUUCCCCCUAGUGGUUGAAGACUAUGCUCACUCAUGGAACAAUCGUUCUAGAAGGUCUUAGAAAACUUGAAUUAAAUGGUUGAGUUGUGAAAAUGAUAAACGCUGUUCUCUGCCAAUGAAUGAACUAGGUUUUACAGACUGCAAACCUAAAGAAGAAAGAUCAGGAAGUUCCUACAAAGACAGUGUCAAAUAAAUGUGUUGUUUGUUUGUUUUUUGUUUGUUUGUUUUUUUCAACUUUACUGAGAUGAGUUUUGUGGCUAUUAUUUGUCUCUGGGUUGUGGCCUACAGAGCAGGAUUGGUAGUUUAGCCCAGAUCAUGGGGUGUGUUACAGCAGGGGUCUCCAACACGUUGCUUGCAAGCUACCAGUAGCUCACCACCCCUUUCUAAGUAGCUCGCCAGAGGGCUAAUGAAUCUCCAGUCAAGGGUUUCUGUAAGUCACUCCACGUCACACUCAUUAACGUUUUGGGCAGGAAUAUUUUAAUAUAUGUAGUUGCUCUUUUCAGCCAAUGGAGGGCAGACAUACGAUUUGUUCUCUACUGGCUGAAAUUAGCAACUGCACUCGUUUUGAUAGACGAGAGAACCAUUUUUUAAAAAAAGUAACCAAAUGUAACUUAAAUGAUGAUGAUUAGCACUUCAGUUGACUGUGUCUGUGGACGUUGCUGGUCUGGGUUAUAGAAGUUAUCUGGAUAGAAAUCGAGUGUGGACCAGGGAGCAGCUGAAGUGUUCUCCUGCCUCAAUAUCUGCACUGUGUUUAUUUCUGUCCUUGCCUGAGUCAGCAGGCAGCCCUUAUCUAUCAGUGUCGCACCAAAGAAGAAGAGGGACCAACUGUAAACUCGAGUGUGUGGUUGUGUGUGUCACUGCCAUUAUGCAACCUGGCUGCAAUAAUAAGCUUUUUAUGUGUGACUACGUGCCAUUGAACAUUAAUGCAUCCAUGCAUGUGCUAGGAACAUACAGUGGAGUGUUGAUGAGGUAAUUUAAAUGCAGUGGAGGGUAUAUAAAGAGAGGCGCGCGUGUGUGCGUGAAUGAACAGGUUGAUUCAGUUGUUAAUAAAGUUCUCUCUUGUAUGCUUUAUCUCAUGCGCAUGCGUAUGAUAGAAAAAACGCUGGAAUACACAAUCACGUAUCCAAGCCGUUAAAAUCAGUACACCCUUGGAAAGCGUCAGCAAUGGAAAAGUGGGAAAUAAUCUGGAGUCACCUCUCCACUGGAGUUUAUCCACCAGAGCCGACCUAAGGACACAGACAGGGUCUCAAGGGAUUUGCUAGAGGAACUAUUUCUUCAUGUGAAUAUUUAACACUGUAGGCUUUUCUUCUCUUGCACUCUCUCUCCCUCUGCCUUUGUACAGGGACAAACUGCAGGAGUGGAGACAACCGACACCCUGACUGUCUGUGGACCAGGAAACUUCUUUAAAGGAUGUGGCCACGUGGUUUCUGUACAUUGUUCAUCCAAGGCAAACGUCUUAAUUGCUUACUGUGACAACAAAACAGCCUGGGUUUUUACCUUUCCGUGGAAAACAUCAAGGAGACAGGAGCUGUGGUUUAAACAAGGCUCCCUCCUCUCUCCGUCUUCACAACCCAUCAGAUGCUGAAGUGUUCUCUGCUCCUCUCUGCUCUGCCCUGACUCUCACAGCUAUCACAGCCUUUCACCAUAACCCAUGGUGCUGGUUUCAUCUUCUGGAAGCUUGAUCUGAACACCUGCAAGUGCUGCUGGAACCACAGCAGGGGAGGGAGUGCGAGGUGAGGGCUGGUGAGAGGUAGUGAGGGUGAGGGUAUGACAUCACUGACAAUGAAGGCUGAUGAAAAAAGCCAAAAUUAAACAAGAAAAAACAAAUGUAAAGACCACUAAAAGUUAAAUUAGUGUAGUGUUAUAAAAAGGUUAGUAUCAAAAGUAGCUCCUGAUUAGCAUGGCAAUGGUAUAAAAUGGCUUUAGAGAAAUUACAGCUAAAUACAACGUAUCAAGGUGUUGCACAUGAAGCUUGUCUUCCAUCCUUCCUGACAAUCUUUUAUUUUUUUAAAGACUGAAACAUUGUCUGUGGUUUGCUCUGAGACAGAAACCACUGACCCUCAACACUGAUCCCUGUUAUUACCUCUGUUCUUCCUUCUUCUCUCGACACAUAGCCAGGGACCAUGAAAAGAAAGAGUAUAUUUAGGUAUGUAUAUACAGUACUCGGUUUCAGUUUUUGAACUUUUCUGUUCAUCGACGGCCUUUAGGAAUGAAUUCAGUUUGAAAACUGAAACAGUUUUCCCAUAGGAAUCAAUGUAAAAUGGAUGAAUCCGUUCCUGAACCCCAAAUGAUACUUAUUCAAACGUUUUCUACCUUUAUUUUGUGUAGUUAACACACAAUACCAACGAAAAUAAUUCGAUCUAACAAAAAAGAUAGACACAACUGACUAAAGAAUAAAGCUAUAUAUAUGAAUGUCAAAUUCAUUCGUCCUUAACUGAGCUGAGGAGUUGUGAUUGCGCCAUGUUCGCUUUGCUUUCUCACUAAUUGUUGUCUCCCAUAUACUGUCGCUGGCCAACGAUCAUUGAUCCAAAUCAGUAGAAACUUCUCCACUUCUAACGUCUUUGAUCUUUGCUUGAUGAUCACAGUCACUCCUUUGGCAACCUUAGCUUCUGUUAUUACUUCCUUGUUCCUAAUGAUGGUACAAAUUGACAACUUUGCUAAGCCGUACUGAACAGCCAGAUCUAAAACACGAGCACCAUUCUCAUGCUUUCGUAUAAUUUUUGUUCACUUCUGUUGUUUUUCAAUUUUUCUGUUCGUGAAGCAAAGUGUUUGAAAAGGAAGGUGUUCAACAACCUGGGUGUGUGUGUUGACUUUCCAUAUUUUUCAAAUUCAUUGCUGACUUUUCUGUACUGCUGUUGUUGAGAGUACGCUGCAACCAGAGAUUUUUAUUUAGUCAACACAGGUUUGACAAACAGGAGUAAAGCCUCAAUAAGAAAAGUCAAGAACACAGAAAACCACAAACCACAGAUAUCAAUAUCUUUUUGCCAAUUUUCAGUAAAAACUGGUUCAAGGUUGGUUUCUAUUAAACACACUUGGCAACCUUGAGAAGAUGAGGAAGGUAAAAGGGAGUAAAAGAACACAAAGAAACGGUAGAAAAAGAGAAGAGUGGGCAGAAAAAAAGAGUGAAAAUUGAGAUCAGGAGCGUGGACGAGGAGACACCACACACCUUCCCUCCUCACUGGGAAAUAGAUCACAGGGAGGUGUUGAAAUCUGAAGUUUUGCAGUUUAACACGUCGUGGCUGAUCCAUCAUGUGUGCGUUGAAGGAUGAUCACUGUCAUUUCUUCUCUGCAGGGGACACAGGUCGGUCCAUGGUGUAGAGGGAGGAUGAGCGAUGGAGGCGUCAAAGGUGAGAAACAUGAAGGUGCGGUUCCUCCUCUCCACCAUCACACACUCACUGACACCAGGGAACACGUUCCAGCAUCCACCUGAGGCCUUUCCUGAACCUUUAAAUGUCCUUUUCUGUAAAGUGCUGCUGUUAAAGGACGUCACUCAGGUGUGAAGAAUGACACGCUUUGAUGGCACUCAGUGGAAGAACUCGCACUGUUAGUCUUCUACAAGCAGACCUGACACAGAGAUCAGUUCAUGUCUGCGGCUCAGAGUAACUGGGAUUAUUUAAGGCCAAAGAACCGCAGGGAAAUGAGUCAAAAUGAAAUGGGUUUGGAUGACAGUAAAAAUGGCAGUGUCUCUUCACAGGUUUGAUCUUAGUUUUAUAUCUGCCACUUUUAAACAUUCUCAAUGACUUAUUGAUGAGUCAUUUUAUUAUUACUUAAUAUUUCAUUUUGUUAUGGCAAUAGGGAACAGUCUAACGAGUGACCCAGGGUGAUAUUUUACUUUGUUUAUACACAUGUAACUCAGCAUGAGAAUCCAAAUCAAUUGUUCAGUGGUAAAAAAAAAAAGAUUCUAAAAAAUAAAAACAAUAAAUGUCGGUCUAUUUACCUCCUGUUAUGAUCCCAGAGUCCAGUAUAAAGACUCAGAAAGCGUUUUUUGUUCAUGCAGGCAACUUGGAGGAUAAUUAGCAGCACAUGAAAGAAAACAGAUUGAAUCAUUAGUUCCAAAAAAGAAAAACAUUUGGAGUGAUCUUACGUCUGACUAAAUUGGCAUAAAAUUUAGUCAAAAGUUCUGAAAUGGGCUGCAGAAGAAGAAGCAGGUCAGGAGUUACCUGACCUGAGGUUUCAGAUCACGAUCCAAAGGUUUAGCACCUGCAGCAUGUUCACGAGCCACUGUGACCGAAUUGUUACUGACUGUUAGCGUCUUGGUACAGGGUGUGUGUUUUCGCACUGGCAGCAGCGUGCACCUAGGUGACAGACGUUCCUCUGAGGAGAACAGUGUGGCAGAACUUUCGUACCCACUGAGUCAUGAGAGGAAUCCUUGUGAUUUAGCACCGUGAAAGACGACAUGCUAAGCUGCUAAACAUCGCACUCUGUGUUCUGUUCUGAAGCUUUGCUGCUCGCCUACACCAGGCUUCCCUCACAUGCUGCAAGUGUUGAUCCGCUGAUAGAAGUGUGUGUGUCUGUGUGUGUGUUUGUUCAUCGGGUUGUUUUUUUUUUUGCACCAUCUUUUAUGCAAUUUAAUUGUCUGUGCAGGAUUGUCCACUCUGUUGGGAAUUUCAAUAUUGUUUUCUCAUGUGCAAAGAUGGUAUGUAUGUACAGUAUCUGUGUGUGUGUGUUUGUUGAACACAGUGGUGACAUCACACCAUCUCAGGUCAGUCUGGCUGAUUGCCUUGUUUUCACAGGUUAUCCCCACAUUUGCUACUAUUUCCAUCGAGUGUGAUCACAGCUGACAGAAACAGUUCUCUUCUGUUAGAGCUCCACCAUGUGAAGGAACACAUUUUGACAACUUAACAAUGUUUUAAUUGUGAAACUUUUAUCCUAAAUGUGACUUCUCCAGCACACCGAACUUUUCAUAACCCAGAAAAAUUAUAAUGCACAACAUGGGGUCAGAAAAGCUCAAUGGGGCUUGCAUUACCUUGUUGUCUCCGACUAAUGUUUGGUAACAGUGACAUUAGCAAUUAGCAUUAAAUAAUUAGCUUUUAGCCGUGUAUACAGUGGUGUGUGUAACGUGUUUUCCAUGCAGUUGUCUUUUAUUAGUAAGACAUUACUGGAUGUAGAGCCGUCAAAAUCAUCAAUACAAUGAAUAUAGAUCAAUAUAAACACUGAAAUAUGAAAAUAGAUAAAAACCCAAAUAUUUCACAUCUGAAGAACUGUUAAACAUGAGUAAAAAUAGUUUUGCUUAAAAAGUAACCAGAUUUGUGGUAGUGUUUAAUGAUGCUUGCUUUCCUGUGUGAACUAAACCCCCCUUAAUAUGGUAUGAGGCUGAUCAGAUGUUAAUGUGUGAAUGAUGGCAUUUACUUUGUGUGUCUGUGUGAGCGAGAGACAGAGACGCUCCCAGCCACGUCCUCAGAGACCGGGGUGUGUUGACAGUGCAUUUAAGGAGCUUUUAACUCAAUAUACUCUUCAAACCCCAUGGCAACAAAGCCUUUUAUAUUCCUCUGCAUAUUGCCAUGGCAACACUGAUGUUCAUUAAAUUUCAGUCUCUUUGAAGAUAUUACAACAAAAUGAAAGGAAAAAAAGAUUGGAGCAAUUGAGCAGACGUCAGGUUACUGGAGACAGAAGUUUCAGAGAUGCUUAUUUAUCUGCACAGAACCACAAAAUGCACAAGAGCUGCAGAGAUGACGUGGUCAAAGCAGCUAAAAGGCUAACUAUUGAGUUCCUCUGGGUUAGAUACAUUUCUCUGGCUCUCUUCUCUUACUGUGUGUGUGUUGGUGUUCUUAUGUGUGGGACCUAUUUAGCACCAUUUCUGGUUUUGUAACGGUUUAAGGUUUAGGAAUAGACAGUAACUGGAAGUGAUCAGAGUACAGGCUGAUACUUCUAUUAUUUAGAAAUGUGUUGCCUUGUGAAACCAGCUGCCAUUAAACAUAAGAGAGACGUCUCCACUUCCUGUUUUGAAGCCACAUUUGAAAACACUUUUAUUUUCUGUUGCCAUAAACACCGUGUGAGUGGAUUUUAUUGUUUUUUUAACAAGUGUUAUUUAAUACUAAUAACUGAUAAUUAUUUUAUUCCUUUUUAGCCCUCACCUGUUGUUUUAUUCCCUGUAUUUACGGUUGUUUUUAUGUCCUAUUUUUACUGCACAGACCUGUGGUUCAACUUUGCUGUUUGUUUUUAAAUGUGCUCCUUAAACAAAUUGGGACUUGGA